rnacentral:rRNA from 1 species
GUCUUUUUGAUUAUAAUUUAAAGUCUAGCCUGCCCAAUGAAAAAUUUUUAAUGGCCGCGGUAUAUUGACUGUGCUAAGGUAGCAUAAUCAUUAGUUUUUUAAUUAAAAGCUAGAAUGAAGGGUUGAAUGAAAAAUUAACUGUCUCUAAUUAAUUUUAUUAAAAUUUUAUUUUUAAGUUAAAAAGCUUAAAUAUUUUUAAAAGACGAGAAGACCCUAUAGAGUUUAAUAUAUUAAAAAUUUUUAAAUAUUUAGAAUUCAUUUUUUAUGAUAAAAAUAUAUUUAAUUGGGGUGAUUAAAAAAUUUAAUAAACUUUUUUUAUAUAAUUAUAUUAAUUAAUAAAUUUAUGAUCCAAUAAUUUUGAUUAAAAGAUAAAUUACCUUAGGGAUAACAGCGUAAUUUUAUUUAAGAGUUCUAAUCGAAAAUAAAGAUUGCGA